GAAGUACUCCCUUCGUCCCAAAAUUCUUGUUUUAGAUUUGUAGAUACGGAUGUAUCUAAUACUAAAACAUGACUUGAUAUAUCCGUAUUUAGACAAAUAUAAGACAAAAUUUUUGGGACAGAGGAAGUACAUA
rnacentral:pre_miRNA from 1 species